GAGAGAGAGAGAGAGAGAGAGAGAGAGAGAGAGAGAGAGAAAGCAACUCUGCCUCGAAUGAAUCUGACCCACUCACCUCAUUCUGAAAGCCCUUUGGUUUGCGGCUGGGUGUUUGGUCCCAGUGGUUGUAUUAUUGUGUUUGUUUGUUUUUUGUUUUUUGAGAGAGAACUGGAUCAGGAAUGAGAUGGGGAAGGGACAAGCAGCCCAGAUGGUAGUCACAUCUCCAGUCUUCUAUCUGCACUCUCAUAUCCAGUAGUCCCCUUCUUGGCUUUCCUUGCUCCUGCACCCUCCAGCCAGCAUCUCAAAGCUGCUCCUGGGCCGAAAGAGUGGGGACAGGGGUCCAGCUUUAGUAGGGGUCACCCCCGGAAGCGCUGCUGUGCCCUGGGCCCAAACUGCCUUCCCAGCACAACUUCCCAGACUCACUGAGAAAUGGGGGAAGGUCUUGCUAACCAUGAUCUUGCUUUGCGUUCCCAGAUUCAUGAAUAUGGCCAAAAGAGAACCCUGUGCUCCUCCCAUAGGGACCGGGGAUGCAGAGAGAUGUGAAUCUUGCAGUGAGCUCAGCUCUGAGGUCAAUAUUCAGAAAAGGGUUCAGAGGCCCUGUGUACCAGAAACUCCUUAGACAGGCCGGGAGCCUGACACUGUCUCUAACUCUUGAAGCCAUGAAACAACAAGAAAGUUCGGAAGGUCAGUGGCCCAGGAAAACUCAGCAAAGGCUGACCAUCGCUUUUCCCAGAGCAAGGUCACUGAAGCAUGACCCUCUUGCUCGGGAGAGGGGGUUGGGGGGGGUGUCAAGUCGUCAAAUCCAGGGGCAACCCUGAUGCCCAGGACCUUCUAGAAGUUGAUCGAGCCUCUGGUCUGCCUGUUUUGGCCAUCGCCAGGAUUAGUCUAACUUCUCAGGAGCAGGCGUCCAAAGUAUAGUCACCGAGGGGCCCGUGAGAGGGCAAGGAUGGGGGACUGUGACCCAAGAAAGGGUGUGCGUAGAGCUCAGGAUGCAAAUGGAGUGCGCAGGACAAUGGGCGCCUCUCCUGCCAGUCCUGGGAGGCAGAGAGAGAGAGAGAGAGAGAGAGAGAGAGAGAGAGAGAGAGAGACCUCGGGACUCGAAUCCAUCCGGAUCAGAACCUUGCGGCUGGCUGCAGGCUCUGCGGCUCAAAGGAUCCCUCCCCCUCCUCUUGGCUCCAGAACUGCAUUUGGCAGCCCUGGAGUCUUACUGCAGUGCAGUCAAGGGCACAUGUUUUGGAGGCCGGUCUCUGGAAGAUCUGGCACCAAAGCUGGAAUAGUGUUGCAAGCCCAGAAUGUCAUCCCUCCGGAAGGCAUCACAGCAAGUUUGAGGCUAUAUAGUGAGUUCCAAGCAAGCCAGGGCUCCAGAGAAAAGAGAAAAGAGAAAAGAUCUGACACCUGUCAAAACCGCCAUCCUGCAAAUUCCCUCGCAGGCAAGGGCAGGUGCGCCACCAUGUGGCAACUGUGACAAUUUACAACAUACUUGGAUGCCUGCUCAGAGCGAUGGGCUGGUUGAUUAACUUUGAAAAUGGUGCAUGAUGUCUGCAUUGGAUUUAUUCACAGCGGGAGAUCUACUAGAGCUAACAACUGAGGGGGAACGUUGUGCCAGACAGGGAGGUAAGCACACUAUUACAUCAGCUGUUUUGAUGGAGCAGAUGCUGCUACUCCUGUCCUAGAAAACCGGAUCCCAGAUUGGCUGACCCAGUGUGAGAACCUAGAGUUAGGGUCUCACUAUGAAGCUCAAGGACUGGGAAUUUGAACUGAGUUCACUGUCACCUUGGCUCUGAUAUGUACUAGAAUACCUGGUGGUUGGAAGCUCGCGCUCUCUCUCUCUCUCUCUCUCUCUCUGUCUCUCUCUCUCUGUCUCUCUCUCUCUCUGUCUCUCUCUCUCUCUGUGUGUGUGUGUGUAUGUGUGUGUUUCAGGGAUUGAAGCUGAGACUUAAGCAUGAUAAGUAAGUACUAUGAUACUAGCUCCAUAAUCUAACUUGUUCAUGGUCUUUCUAUGUCCCCCACACUAUCCUGGAUUAUUAUGUAGACCUGGCCUCAAGUGCCCAAUGCCCAGCUUUUCCCAGCACAGUCUUGGCAUGCGUAUCAAGCCCUCUAGAACUUGAUUUAUAGACCAGACUACCCUGAAUUCAUGAUCCUCCUGCCUCUACUCCCCAAAUACUCCCCAAAUUCUGGGCUUACAAGUAUAUACUCACAUGUCUGGCUCUUGUGCUACUUUCUUUUUUAAAAGAUUUAUUUAAUGUAUAUGAGUACACUGUCGCUGUCUUCACACACACCAGAAGAGGGCAUCAGAUCCCCAUUACAGAUGGUUGUGAGCCACCAUGUAACCAUGUAGUUGCUGGGAAUUGAACUCAGGACCUCUGGAAGAGCAGCCAGUGCUCUUACCCACUGAGCCAUCUCUCCAGCCCUUGUGCUACUUUCUAAAGAACGGCUUGUGUCUUGUGCAGGUGGACAUGACUGCA
ensembl:lncRNA